GACGAACGCUGGCGGCGUGCUUAACACAUGCAAGUCGAACGGAAAGGCCCUGCUUUUGUGGGGUGCUCGAGUGGCGAACGGGUGAGUAACACGUGAGUAACCUGCCCUUGACUUUGGGAUAACUUCAGGAAACUGGGGCUAAUACCGGAUAGGAGCUCCUGCUGCAUGGUGGGGGUUGGAAAGUUUCGGCGGUUGGGGAUGGACUCGCGGCUUAUCAGCUUGUUGGUGAGGUAGUGGCUUACCAAGGCUUUGACGGGUAGCCGGCCUGGGAGGGUGACCGGCCACAUUGGGCCUGAGAGACGGCCCAGACGCCUACGGGAGGCAGCGGUGGGGAAUAUUGCACAAUGGGCGGAAGCCUGAUGCAGCAACGCCGCGUGCGGGAUGACGGCCUUCGGGUUGUAAACCGCUUUCGCCUGUGACGAAGCGUGAGUGACGGUAAUGGGUAAAGAAGCACCGGCUAACUACGUG
rnacentral:rRNA from 1 species